rnacentral:piRNA from 1 species
UCAUCCAGAGUGAGGAGAACUGAUAUACUU